rnacentral:rRNA from 1 species
AGGACGAACGCUGGCGGCGUGCUUAACACAUGCAAGUGGAGCGACGAACCGGGGCUUGCCCCGGGGCAGAGCCGCGAACGGGUGAGUAACACGUGGGUUACCUGCCUCAAUGACCGGGACAACCCGAGGAAACUCGGGCUAAUACCGGAUGUGCCCGCAAGGGGAAAGGAAGCUUCGGCCUCCGCAUUGAGAUGGGCCCGCGGCCCAUUAGCUUGUUGGUGAGGUAACGGCUCACCAAGGCUUCGAUGGGUAGCUGGUCUGAGAGGACGAUCAGCCACACUGGGACUGAGACACGGCCCAGACUCCUACGGGAGGCAGCAGUGGGGAAUCUUGCGCAAUGCGCGAAAGCGUGACGCAGCAACGCCGCGUGGGGGAAGAAGGCUUUCGGGUUGUAAACCCCUUUCAGCGAGGGACGAAGCGAAAGUGACGGUACCUGCAGAAGAAGCGCCGGCUAACUACGUGCCAGCAGCCGC